UACGGAGGGGGCAAGCGUUGUCCGGAUUUAUUGGGCUUAAAGGGUGCGUAGGCGGGGUCUCAAGUCUGGUUUGAAAGUUAGCUGCUCAACAGUUAGACGUGGCUGGAAACUGGGAUUCUGGAAUGGGUUGGCGGCGGCCGGAACGGGUCAUGUAGCGGUGAAAUGCAUAGAUAUGACCCAGAACACCGAUUGCGAAGGCAGGCAGCUGCGACCUGAUUGACACUGAGGCACGAGAGCAUGGGUAGCAAACAGG
rnacentral:rRNA from 1 species